rnacentral:pre_miRNA from 1 species
AGUGGGAUAACUGGGUCAAAUGGUUCCAUUCCAAGUUUUCUGAAGAAUUUCCAUACUGUUUUACAUAAUGAUUGCACCAAUUUGCAGUCUCACCAGCAAU